UCCGGUUUGUCACCGGCAGUCUCAUUAGAGUGCCCAACUAAAUGUAGCAACUAAUGACAAGGGUUGCGCUCGUUGCGGGACUUAACCCAACAUCUCACGACACGAGCUGACGACAGCCAUGCAGCACCUGUGUUCCGAUUCCCUUUCGGGCACACCCGAAUCUCUUCAGGCUCUCGGACAUGUCAAGGGUAGGUAAGGUUUUUCGCGUUGCAUCGAAUUAAGCCACAUGCUCCGCCGCUUGUGCGGGCCCCGUCAAUUCCUUUGAGUUUUAGCCUUGCGGCCGUACUCCCCAGGCGGGGUGCUUAAUGCGUUAGCUUCGUUACUGAGAGUGUCAAACCCCCAACAACCAGUCGACAUCGUUUAGGGCGUGGACUAC
rnacentral:misc_RNA from 1 species